UAUUUGGUGGGGUGGUGGAGUCGAGGGUGCUAAGAGCAACAAAACUAAAUUCUGAAGCAAUUGUUCUGACUCUUGAGUGCUUAUAUUUAUUUCAUUAAUCUCGGAAGAUAUGGCGUCUCAUAAGGUGCCUGGUAAUCGCAAAUUGAUAGGUGCCAAAUCAGAAUACUAUUUUAUGCUUUAUGCAGGUACUGAAGAAGUGAAGAGCUACGACCGGAUUGAUUUUGGUAUGUUUGGUCGGAGUUGGGCUCCCAUUGUUUCUUGGGCCGUGAUAGUGGUUCCCCACGAGCCGGAGAGUAAUUGGAGAAAAAAUUUACCUCCUCCAAGUGUCAAUAAUAUGGACCCCGCUAGCUCGCUUUGUGUCAUUGCAUCUGGUUCUUCUAAUGGUUAUAAGCCUAUAGGUGAUGAUAAACAUGAUCGUCCUUUUCAUGGCGUUAGAACUACAGUUCGAUUGAACAAAUUGAAAUAUGAUCGUGAAGUGUUGCGCGGAGGUUCUCUUGUUUUGGAGAUUAAUCUUCUAGAGGUUUUUUCCGGAGGAGAUGUUGUGGAUUCUGAUCAUACUUUUGAUGGUCAAGUGUUCUGGAACUUGUACUCGAAUUGAAUAUUGUACGGUGAGAUAAGUUGAUGUGUGUAUUAAUGGUAUUAUCUAAUAUAAACAUAGGAUUGGACAUAUAGUUGUGUCAAUGUAUUGUGUAAUUUAACUACCUCUAGAUAAUAUUAUCGUUUGUGUAAUGAUUGUAAUUGAUGUUUUGUUGGAGGAUCCUUUAGUAUGCUUAUAAAAAGGAUUCAAGUGUGUUGUAACGAGCAGAGCUCUUCUAAGUCUAGUCCAUAAAUAAAUAAAAGAGUUGACUAUAAUGUAAUAUUGUGGGGUCUUCUACUGUGUCUAUAAAAAGGAUCCAAGUGUGUUGUAAUAUGAGUAGAGAUUCAUGAAUUUAGUCUAUAAAUAAAUUAAACAAGUGGUUUAUAUAGUUCUUUUAUGAACAUGUAUGGUCUCAUUUCCUUCAUAAAGCAAUGUAUAGACGUAGAGAUUCAUGAAUUUAGUCUAUAAAUAAAUUAAACAAGUGUUUUAUAUAGUCCUUUUAUGAACAUGUAUGGUCUCAUUUCCUUCAUAAAGCAAUGUAUAGCCGUUGUGACAAAAUCUUAUUACUCAAGUUUACUCAUGAAUCCUUGAAUUUAGUGUAUAAAAAAAAUUAAACAAGUGUUUUAUAUAGUCCUUUUAUGAACAUGUAUGGUCUCAUUUCCUUCAAAAAGCAAUGUAUAGCCGUUGUGACAAAAUCUUAUUACUCAAGUUUACUCAUGAAUCCUUUACACAAAUGUAUAGCGGUUGUGACAAAACCUUAUUACUCAAGUUUACUCAUGAAUCCUUUACACAAAUGUUACAAAUGUAUAAUAACAAAAUUGAAAAGUCAUUUUCACACGUUACAAAUAUAUACUAACAAAACUGAAAUAACAUUAUUACAAGUUAGAACAAUAUGUAAUAACAAAAAAUAAAUAAAUAAACU
rnacentral:lncRNA from 1 species